AACGAAAGUUUUUAUACUUUAGUGGCGAACGGGUGCGUAAUACGUGAGAAUCUGCCCUUAGGAGGAGGAUAACUGCUGGAAACGGCUGCUAAUACUCCAUAUGUCGAGAGAUGAAAUAAUUUAUUGCCUAAGGAUGAGCUCGCGCCUGAUUAGCUAGUUGGUGAGGUAAUGGCUCACCAAGGCCACGAUCAGUAGCUGGUUUGAGAGAACGAUCAGCCACACUGGGACUGAGACACGGCCCAGACUCCUCCGGGAGGCAGCAGUGAGGAAUUUUCCGCAAUGGGCGAAAGCCUGACGGAGCAAUACCGCGUGAGGGAUGAAGGAUUUUGGUCUGUAAACCUCUUUUCUCAAGAAAGAAGUUCUGACGGUACUUGAGGAAUAAGCAUCGGCUAACUCCGUGCCAGCAGCCGCGGUAAUACGGGGGAUGCAAGCGUUAUCCGGAAUCAUUGGGCGUAAAGCGCCUGUAGGUUGUUUAAUAAGUCUGUUGUUAAAGACUAGGCUUAACCCUAGAAAAGCAAUGGAAACUACUAGACUAGAGUAUGGCAGGGGUAGAGGGAAUUUCUAGUGUAGCGGUGAAAUGCGUAGAUAUUAGAAAGAACACCGGUGGCGAAAGCGCUCUACUGGACCAUUACUGACACUCAGAGGCGAAAGCUAGGGUAGCAAAAGGGAU
rnacentral:rRNA from 1 species